ACAGAUUGUUUUUUUUAGAACCACAUUCAACUUGGAACAUUGUCCAGCUGCACUCCAUCGCAGGCCUGGAUUGGAUCUGCUGAGCUCCAGGUUUCAACCCAAGACCUGGGACUGAUGGAUCUGCUGCCUGUUUUACACUGGAUUAAGAUAAUGUAGCAACAUAAAUGGUACGCUGCCACUUUAAGAUCAAUUUCAGCUGCUGCAUAUAAGCAGGUCUCUACCUGCCACAAGACGACUUGCGUCAUGACGUCAACUCAUUCUGCUUCCUUUGUUUGCUGAGCUGUGCUGGCCUCCCUUGCUGUGCCUCCAACUCCUGGACCAAUUUGUUCGGUUGUUUGCUGCCGGGAAGGUAAGCGCUAGCAUGGCUAGGUAACAUCCAUCUCAUGUAAACGAAGCCUUUACGUAGCAUUUUGUUACAGCUGCGCUCCAUAGGCGAACUUGUGGAUCUGUUUAUCUGGCCGUGUGGUAAUUUACAGGGACUGAGGCUUCUGUGGUGGCGGUGGUGAUCCCAGGUGGCGGUGUC